ensembl:lncRNA
GCUGAUCAGAGUGGAGGGGUUCCCUCCUGCUGGAUUGCUGGCGCUGGCCUUUGAGGGGAGGUUGAAGGGUCCAGGGCGCAGAGAUGGAGCUUGGGGAGGGGCAGGGCACCUCUGACAUAACUGCAGAGCUUCUUGGAGCAGAGCUUGCAGGAUCUUAGAUGCCUGAGGACCAGCGACUGAAGCCUGGAACUCUAAUCAAUAGCCUCCAGGACGUCCUCUCUGGACUCAAAUUCUGCAACUCUGACCAAGCCGAUUCUUUACUGCUGAGCUACCAGGGAAGCCUAAGACACACCCUGCGGACACUCCACUGCGGAUGGAACCCAGGACCUCCUAGUGACCUGGACUUGCUGUUUUCUCGUCUUCUGUGUAGUCUGCUGGGGAACUGAUGACCCCACUGUGCCUGGUGAACAGCCAGAGCAACACCCAGGGGUGUGGGGACAGCGAGUGACUCUCCAG